GGCCGAUACUGCCAGAGUUUCGGAAAGGAAUAUAGCUACAAGCCACGGCCCGCUUGAAUUUACAUAUCGGAUUGCAAAUCCGCCCACGCCGGUUCGAUUCCGGCUUCGGCCUCCA
rnacentral:tRNA from 1 species